CACUUUAUUUGAUUUCUUCGGAAUGAAGAUUUUGUGACUGAGUGGCGGACGGGUGAGUAACGCGUGGGUAACCUGCCUCAUACAGGGGGAUAACAGUUGGAAACGACUGCUAAUACCGCAUAAGCGCACAGGGUCGCAUGACCUGGUGUGAAAAACUCCGGUGGUAUGAGAUGGACCCGCGUCUGAUUAGCCAGUUGGUGGGGUAACGGCCCACCUAGUCUUCGAUGGAUAGGGGUUCUGAGAGGAAGGUCCCCCACAUUGGAACUGAGACACGGUCCAAACUCC
rnacentral:rRNA from 1 species